rnacentral:rRNA from 1 species
GACAGAGGGUGCAAACGUUGUUCGGAAUUACUGGGCGUAAAGCGCGUGUAGGCUGCUCCGCAAGUCGGCUGUGAAAGCCCUGGGCUCAACCUAGGAAGUGCAUUCGAUACUGCAGAGCUUGAGUCCUGGAGAGGAAGGCGGAAUUCUCGGUGUAGAGGUGAAAUUCGUAGAUAUCGAGAGGAACACCGGUGGCGAAGGCGGCCUUCUGGACAGUGACUGACGCUGAGACGCGAAAGCGUGGGGAGCAAACAGG